UAGAUAACAUAGAUCGUGUUGUAAAUCUUACACCAGUAAGCAGAAUCUAUCUUGUUAUAAACAAGAAUUUAUGGAAACGGAGGAGAACAUAGAUGGUGCUUGCAUUAUUUCACCUGCUGCAAGCACAUCUAGAAUCACAACUCGAUCAGAGUGGUAUUCCUGUAUUUUUUGUAAGAACAAAACUUACAAAAAAGAUCUUAAAUUGCACAAAGUGGAAUCAGAAGACAGAAUUAAGAAUAUACUA
rnacentral:lncRNA from 1 species